AGAGUUUGAUCAUCGGGCUCAGGACGAACGCUGGCGGCGUGCUUAACACAUGCAAGUCGAGCGGAAAGGCUCCUUCGGGGGGUACUCGAGCGGCGAACGGGUGAGUAACACGUGAGUAAUCUGCCCUUGGCUUUGGGAUAACUACCGGAAACGGUGGCUAAUACCGGAUACGACCACUCCUUGCAUGAGGUGGUGGUGGAAAAGUUUUUUCGGCCAGGGAUGUGCUCGCGGCCUAUCAGCUUGUUGGUGGGGUAAAUGGCCUACCAAGGCUUCGACGGGUAGCCGGCCUGAGAGGGUGACCGGCCACACUGGGACUGAGACACGGCCCAGACUCCUACGGGAGGCAGCAGUGGGGAAUAUUGGACAAUGGGCGGAAGCCUGAUCCAGCAACGCCGCGUGAGGGAUGACGGCCUUCGGGUUGUAAACCUCUUUCAGUACCGACGAAGCGCCGAUGAUGGUGGUGACGGUAGGUACAGAAGAAGCACCGGCCAACUACGUG
rnacentral:rRNA from 1 species